GACCUGAUGUGCCGACAGGCGGCCCAUUCCCUUGUGGAGUCCCAGCGCCAUGGGCGCAUCGGUUUGAUGAAGCCGAAAGCGGCAUCGGAUCGCGGCAGCUCAGUCGCCCAUCACGUCGCACGCUGGCCCUGAUGGAGAAGGCACACAUGCCUCGCACCGUCAUGCGCGAAAGGGACUCCUCAUCUGCUCGACAUAAUGCGCGACGGUGCGGAUGGACCACAUGACGUUCCUCUAUCGAUCUUCCCAGGAUGAAGAGAGGAGCGCAACACAAGUCCAAGGAUGAUGUGAUGUUCCAGCUGUUCAGCUGGUGAGAUGUCAGGUGGGUGCUCGACGAAUUGCCUCAAAGAGCUGCGGCGGAACUGUCUCCCGACCCGAACCGCCGACCCGACCUCCCGAUCCGAGCCACCGAUCCGAACCACGGUGCUAGGCCGCCGGGAGACCCCGAGGAGCUGCACCCGAGAUCCCCGACAUCUGGACCCCAGAACCAAGCCGCGUCGGCCCCGAGGCCACGGUUAAAAAAGUUACUUACCGUAACAAUUAUGAUGAUCAAAAUUUCUUAUAUCAUAAAUAUUUUAUAAAAGAUAAAUUA